CCUACGGGAGGCAGCAGUGAGGAAUAUUGGUCAAUGGACGAGAGUCUGAACCAGCCAAGUAGCGUGAAGGAUGACUGCCCUAUGGGUUGUAAACUUCUUUUAUAUGGGAAUAAAAUGUUCCACGUGUGGGAUUUUGUAUGUACCAUAUGAAUAAGGAUAGGCUAACUCCGUGCCAGCAGCCGCGGUAAUACGGAGGAUCCGAGCGUUAUCCGGAUUUAUUGGGUUUAAGGGGAGCGUAGGUGGAUUGUUAAGUCAGUUGUGAAAGUUUGCGGCUCAACCGUAAAAUUGCAGUUGAAACUGGCAGUCUUGAGUACAGUAGAGGUGGGCGGAAUUCGUGGUGUAGCGGUGAAAUGCUUAGAUAUCACGAAGAACUCCGAUUGCGAAGGCAGUUCACUGGACUGCAACUGACACUGAGGCUCGAAAGUGUGGGUAUCAAACAGGAUUAGAUACCCCAGUAGUC
rnacentral:rRNA from 1 species